CCUACGGGAGGCAGCAGUGGGGAAUAUUGGACAAUGGGCGAAAGCCUGAUCCAGCCAUGCCGCGUGUGUGAAGAAGGCCUUCGGGUUGUAAAGCACUUUCAGUGGGGAAGAAAGCCUUGGGGCUAAUACCCUCGAGGAAGGACAUCACCCACAGAAGAAGCACCGGCUAACUCCGUGCCAGCAGCCGCGGUAAUACGGAGGGUGCGAGCGUUAAUCGGAAUUACUGGGCGUAAAGCGCGCGUAGGCGGUCUGAUAAGCCGGUUGUGAAAGCCCCGGGCUCAACCUGGGAACGGCAUCCGGAACUGUCAGGCUAGAGUGCAGGAGAGGAAGGUAGAAUUCCCGGUGUAGCGGUGAAAUGCGUAGAGAUCGGGAGGAAUACCAGUGGCGAAGGCGGCCUUCUGGACUGACACUGACGCUGAGGUGCGAAAGCGUGGGUAGCAAACAGGAUUAGAUCCCCUUGUAGUC
rnacentral:rRNA from 1 species